UACGUAGGGUGCGAGCGUUGUCCGGAAUUAUUGGGCGUAAAGGGCUCGUAGGCGGUUUGUCGCGUCGGGAGUGAAAACCUCGGGCUUAACUGUGGGUCUGCGGGCGAUACGGGCAGACUGGAGUACUGCAGGGGAGACUGGAAUUCCUGGUGUAGCGGUGGAAUGCGCAGAUAUCAGGAGGAACACCGGUGGCGAAGGCGGGUCUCUGGGCAGUAACUGACGCUGAGGAGCGAAAGCGUGGGGAGCGAACAGG
rnacentral:rRNA from 1 species